CCUGGCUCAGGAUGAACGCUAGCGGGAGGCCUAACACAUGCAAGUCGAACGGGAUUCAGUAGCUUGCUACUGAUGAGAGUGGCGCACGGGUGAGUAACGCGUAUGCAACCUACCUCUUACAGGGGGAUAGCCCGGAGAAAUCCGGAUUAAUAUCCCAUGGUAUUUAUUNUCCGCAUGGNUANUAAAUUAAAGAUUUAUCGGUAAGAGAUGGGCAUGCGUGACAUUAGUUUGUUGGUGAGGUAACGGCUCACCAAGACUACGAUGUCUAGGGGUUCUGAGAGGAUGAUCCCCCACACUGGUACUGAGACACGGACCAGACUCCUACGGGAGGCAGCAGUGAGGAAUAUUGGUCAAUGGGCGCAAGCCUGAACCAGCCAUCCCGCGUGAAGGAAGACGGCCCUAUGGGUUGUAAACUUCUUUUCUGCACCAAGAAUNGGCCUUACGUGUAAGGUUUUGACGGUAGUGCAGGAAUAAGCAUCGGCUAACUCCGUGCCAGCAGCCGCGGUAAUACGGAGGAUGCAAGCGUUAUCCGGAUUCAUUGGGUUUAAAGGGUACGUAGGUGGCCCAGUAAGUCAGUGGUGAAAUCCUGCCGCUUAACGGUAGAACUGCCAUUGAUACUGCUGGGCUUGAGUACAGUUGAGGUAGGCGGAAUGUGUAGUGUAGCGGUGAAAUGCUUAGAUAUUACACAGAACCCCGAUUGCGAAGGCAGCUUACUAAACUGUAACUGACACUGAGGUACGAAAGCGUGGGGAGCGAACAGGAUUAGAUACCCUGGUAGUCCACGCCGUAAACGAUGCUCACUCGCUGUAUGCGAUACACAGUAUGCGGCCAAGCGAAAGUAUUAAGUGAGCCACCUGGGGAGUACGUUGGCAACAGUGAAACUCAAAGGAAUUGACGGGGGCCCGCACAAGCGGAGGAACAUGUGGUUUAAUUCGAUGAUACGCGAGGAACCUUACCUGGGCUUAAAUGCAGGACGACAGGCGUCGAAAGAUGCUUUUCUUCGGACGGCUUGCAAGGUGCUGCAUGGUUGUCGUCAGCUCGUGCCGUGAGGUGUCGGGUUAAGUCCCAUAACGAGCGCAACCUUACCGUUAGUUACCAUCAGGUCAUGCUGGGGACUCUAGCGGGACUGC
rnacentral:rRNA from 1 species